rnacentral:rRNA from 1 species
UGCGAAGGGUGCAAGCGUUACUCGGAAUUACUGGGCGUAAAGCGUGCGUAGGUGGUGAGUUAAGUCUGAUGUGAAAUCCCCGGGCUCAACCUGGGAAUGGCAUUGGAUACUGGCUCGCUAGAGUGCGGUAGAGGGUGGUGGAAUUCCCGGUGUAGCAGUGAAAUGCGUAGAGAUCGGGAGGAACAUCUGUGGCGAAGGCGGCCACCUGGACCAACACUGACACUGAGGCACGAAAGCGUGGGGAGCAAACAGGG